rnacentral:lncRNA from 1 species
UUUAAUGUUUUGACUAUCCCUGAGAAGCAAAACAAGUGAAUAGUAUAAAGAAGGCUAAGGAAGGCAAUUUGAAUUAUACAAAAUCAUCAUACACAUACAAGUUGAGUAUCCUUAUCUGAAAUGUUUGGGACCGGAAGUGUUUUAGAUUUUGGAAUGUUUCCAUUAUAUUAUUGGACAAGGAGCAUUUCCUUUUUGAACAUCAUGUCAGUACUGAAAAAUUUUGGAUCUUGAAGCAUUUUGGAUCUUAGAUUCUCAGAUUUGGGAUGGUCAACCUCAGUAACUGAUUUUUUUUUUCUUUUCUUUUCUUUUUUUUGAGAGAUGGUGCGAUCUCAGCUCACUGCAACCUCCACCACCUGGGUUCAAGCUAUCCUGCCUCAGCCU